rnacentral:pre_miRNA from 1 species
UCCUGCGUGGGAUCUGGAGUGGGCGAGUCUCGUUUCCCCAGCUCCAGAGCAGGA